AGAGUUUGAUCCUGGCUCAGAACGAACGCUGGCGGCAGGCCUAACACAUGCAAGUCGAGCGAAGUCUUCGGACUUAGCGGCGGACGGGUGAGUAACGCGUGGGAACGUGCCCUAUGGUUCGGAAUAGCCCCGGGAAACUGGGAGUAAUACCGGAUGAGCUCCACGGAGGAAAGAUUUAUCGCCAAAGGAUCGGCCCGCGUUGGAUUAGGUAGUUGGUGGGGUAAUGGCCCACCAAGCCGACGAUCCAUAGCUGGUUUGAGAGGAUGAUCAGCCACACUGGGACUGAGACACGGCCCAGACUCCUACGGGAGGCAGCAGUGGGGAAUCUUAGACAAUGGGCGCAAGCCUGAUCUAGCCAUGCCGCGUGAUCGAUGAAGGCCUUAGGGUUGUAAAGAUCUUUCAGUGGGGAAGAUAAUGACUGUACCCACAGAAGAAGCCCCGGCUAACUCCGUGCCAGCAGCCGCGGUAAUACGGAGGGGGCUAGCGUUGUUCGGAAUUACUGGGCGUAAAGCGCACGUAGGCGGAACAGAAAGUCAGAGGUGAAAUCCCAGGGCUCAACCUUGGAACUGCCUUUGAAACUCCUGUUCUUGAGGUCGAGAGAGGUGAGUGGAAUUCCGAGUGUAGAGGUGAAAUUCGUACAUAUACGGGAGGAACACCAGUGGUUAAAGGCGGCUCAC
rnacentral:rRNA from 1 species